rnacentral:rRNA from 1 species
UACGUAGGGUGCAAGCGUUAUCCGGAAUUAUUGGGCGUAAAGAGCUCGUAGGCGGUUUGUCACGUCUGCUGUGAAAACUGGAGGCUCAACCUCCAGCCUGCAGUGGGUACGGGCAGACUAGAGUGUGGUAGGGGAGAUUGGAAUUCCUGGUGUAGCGGUGGAAUGCGCAGAUAUCAGGAGGAACACCGAUGGCGAAGGCAGAUCUCUGGGCCGUAACUGACGCUGAGGAGCGAAAGCAUGGGGAGCGAACAGG